rnacentral:rRNA from 1 species
GGUUUGAUCCUGGCUCAGAACGAACGCUGGCGGCGUGCUUAACACAUGCAAGUCGAACGUGAUCCAGAGCUUGCUCUGGUGAAAGUGGCGCACGGGUGAGUAACGCGUGGAUAACCUGCCCUGGUAUCUGGGAUAACAUCUCGAAAGGGGUGCUAAUACCGGAUAAGCCUACGGUCUCUUCGGAGUCUGCAGGAAAAGGUGGCCUCUAUUUAUAAGCUACCGUAUCAGGAUGAGUCCGCGUACCAUUAGCUAGUUGGUGGGGUAAUGGCCCACCAAGGCUACGAUGGUUAGCUGGUCUGAGAGGAUGAUCAGCCACACUGGAACUGAGACACGGUCCAGACUCCUACGGGAGGCAGCAGUGGGGAAUUUUGCGCAAUGGGGGAAACCCUGACGCAGCAACGCCGCGUGAGUGAUGAAGGCUUUCGGGUCGUAAAGCUCUGUCAGAGGGGAAGAAAUGAAACGUGCUAAUAUCACGUUUUCUUGACGGUACCCUCAAAGGAAGCACCGGCUAACUCCGUGCCAGCAGCCGCGGUAAUACAAGGGCGMMYY